AUGAACGCUGGCGGCGUGCUUCACACAUGCAAGUCGAACGGUGAAGCAGAGCUUGCUCUGUGGAUCAGUGGCGAACGGGUGAGUAACACGUGAGCAACCUGCCCCUGACUCUGGGAUAAGCGCUGGAAACGGCGUCUAAUACUGGAUAUGAGCUGCGACCGCAUGGUCAGCAGUUGGAAAGAUUUUUCGGUCUGGGAUAGGCUCACGGCCUAUCAGCUUGUUGGUGAGGUAAUGGCUCACCAAGGCGUCGACGGGUAGCCGGCCUGAGAGGGUGACCGGCCACACUGGGACUGAGACACGGCCCAGACUCCUACGGGAGGCAGCAGUGGGGAAUAUUGCACAAUGGGCGAAAGCCUGAUGCAGCAACGCCGCGUGAGGGAUGACGGCCUUCGGGUUGUAAACCUCUUUUAGCAGGGAAGAAGCGAAAGUGACGGUACCUGCAGAAAAAGCGCCGGCUAACUACGUG
rnacentral:rRNA from 1 species